rnacentral:rRNA from 1 species
CGCCUGUUUAUCAAAAACAUCGCCUCUUGCUAAACCAAAAGUAUAAGAGGUCCCGCCUGCCCUGUGACUAUAUGUUUAACGGCCGCGGUAUUUUGACCGUGCGAAGGUAGCGCAAUCACUUGUCUUUUAAAUGGGGACCUGUAUGAAUGGCAUAACGAGGGCUUAACUGUCUCCUUUUUCAAGUCAGUGAAAUUGAUCUCCCCGUGCAGAAGCGGGGAUAGACACAUAAGACGAGAAGACCCUGUGGAGCUUCAGACACUAAAGCAGAUCAGUAUUAAUACCCUGAACAUAAGGCACGAAUAAGAUGAUUCCUGCCCUAAUGUCUUCGGUUGGGGCGACCGCGGAGAAAUAUAUAACCCCCGCAAGGACUGAAUGUACUACAUUCACAACCAAGAGUGACAACUCUAAUUAACAGAACUUCUGACCAAUAAGAUCCGGCAAUGCCGAUUAAUGAACCAAGUUACCCCAGGGAUAACAGCGCAAUCUCCUCUUAGAGUCCAUAUCGACGAGGAGGUUUACGACCUCGAUGUUGGAUCAGGACAUCCUAAUGGUGCAACCGCUAUUAAGGGUUCGUUUGUUCAACGAUUAAAGUCCUACGUGAUCUGAGUUCAGACCGG